UACGGGGGGGGCAAGCGUUGUUCGGAAUUACUGGGCGUAAAGGGUUCGUAGGUGGCCUGCUAAGUCGGACGUGAAAUCCCUCGGCUCAACCGGGGAACUGCGUCCGAUACUGGUGGGCUCGAGUGCAGGAGAGGAACGCGGAAUUCCAGGUGUAGCGGUGAAAUGCGUAGAUAUCGGGAGGAACACCAGUGGCGAAGGCGACUAUCUGGGCUGCAACUGACGCUGAGGCGCGAAGGCUAGGGUAGCAAACAGG
rnacentral:rRNA from 1 species